CAGUCGAACGAAGCACUCUAUUUGAUUUUCUUCGGAGAUGAAGAUUUUGUGACUGAGUGGCGGACGGGUGAGUAACGCGUGGGUAACCUGCCUCAUACAGGGGGAUAACAGUUGGAAACGACUGCUAAUACCGCAUAAGCGCACAAUACCGCAUGGUACCGUGUGAAAAACUCCGGUGGUAUGAGAUGGACCCGCGUCUGAUUAGCUAGUUGGUGGGGCAACAGCCUACCAAGGCGACGAUCAGUAGCCGACCUGAGAGGGUGACCGGCCACAUUGGGACUGAGACACGGCCCAAACUCCUACGGGAGGCAGCAGUGGGGAAUAUUGCACAAUGGGGGAAACCCUGAUGCAGCGACGCCGCGUGAGCGAAGAAGUAUUUCGGUAUGUAAAGCUCUAUCAGCAGGGAAGAAAAAAUGACGGUACCUGACUAAGAAGCACCGGCUAAAUACGUGCCAGCAGCCGCGGUAAUACGUAUGGUGCAAGCGUUAUCCGGAUUUACUGGGUGUAAAGGGAGCGCAGGCGGUGCGGCAAGUCUGAUGUGAAAGCCCGGGGCUCAACCCCGGUAUUGCAUUGGAAACUGUCGUACUAGAGUGUCGGAGGGGUAAGUGGAAUUCCUAGUGUAGCGGUGAAAUGCGUAGAUAUUAGGAGGAACACCAGUGGCGAAGGCGGCUUACUGGACGAUAACUGACGCUGAGGCUCGAAAGCGUGGGGAGCAAACAGGAUUAGAUACCCUGGUAGUCCACGCCGUANACGAUGAAUACUAGGUGUUGGAGANCAUUGCUCUUCGGUGCCGCA
rnacentral:rRNA from 1 species